rnacentral:rRNA from 1 species
CCUACGGGAGGCAGCAGUGGGGAAUAUUGCACAAUGGGGGAAACCCUGAUGCAGCGACGCCGCGUGAGUGAAGAAGUAUUUCGGUAUGUUAAGCUCUAUCAGCAGGGAAGAAAAUGACGGUACCUGAUUAAGAAGCCCCGGCUAACUACGUGCCAGCAGCCGCGGUAAUACGUAGGGGGCAAGCGUUAUCCGGAUUUACUGGGUGGAAAGGGAGCGUAGACGGCAGCGCAAGUCUGAAGUGAAAUGCCGGGGCUUAACCCCGGAACCGCGUUGGAAACUGUGCAGCUAGAGUGCAGGAGAGGUAAGGGGAAGUCCUAGGGUAGGGGUGAAAGGCGUAGAUAUUAGGAGGAACACGAGUGGCGAGGGCGGCUUACUGGACUGUAACUGACGUUGAGGCUCGAAAGCGUGGGGAGCAAACAGGAUUAGAUACCCCAGUAGUC